CUCUCAUAGCUCGCUAGGUGUACAAAUACAGUAACCUGCACCUGAACAAUGUGUUAUUUCUUUAAAUCUCAUAAAACAGGCGGGUGGAGACUAAUAGAAGGCUGUUUGAAAAAGCAGCACACACUUUGAAGGAAACGUCCCUCCUCUGAACAUCUUCACCUCUCUGCUCCAGAGGACCUGACAAGAAUACUUUCUGCCUAUUCUGAAACACAAAGAUGGCUGUAGCUCUCACUCUCCUUCUUGUUGGCUGUCUGCUCCCAGGUGCCCUGUGUGGACAGUUUGAGAGCAUUAUACCAAAGACUA